AAUUGCUCUGGGUAGGUGCCAAUUCAAGUAGAAAGAAACAGAAUAAAGGCUCAGAGGAAGACGUCAUCAGAAAGCAGCUUCCAGAGCAUGUUCUGUGCGGAGAAUGGAUGUGUGCUUUCUCUCCAUGUGAAACCAGGGGACGAGAAAAGGCUCCUGAGAGGAUGAAGGUGAAAAGAGGAGCAUAUUUAGUGGCUGAAGGCAGGGGCACUGGGAAUGGGA
rnacentral:lncRNA from 1 species